rnacentral:rRNA from 1 species
UACGUAGGUGGCAAGCGUUAUCCGGAAUUAUUGGGCGUAAAGCGCGCGCAGGCGGUUAUUUAAGUCUGGUGUUUAAACCUUGGGCUCAACCUGGGGUCGCACUGGAAACUGGGUAACUUGAGUACAGAAGAGGAAAGUGGAAUUCCACGUGUAGCGGUGAAAUGCGUAGAGAUGUGGAGGAACACCAGUGGCGAAGGCGACUUUCUGGGCUGUAACUGACGCUGAGGCGCGAAAGCGUGGGGAGCAAACAGG